AAGCUUCACGAAUUCACAGGCCCUCUUAUGGUAUGAACUAAAUACACGAUGAUUUAUGGUGCGUAUUGAGAGCUUACCAUAAGACAAGGCCAUGAAUUCACGAAGCGU
rnacentral:pre_miRNA from 1 species